GAUGAACGCUGGCGGCGUGCCUAAUACAUGCAAGUAGAACGCUUAAGGUGGAGCUUGCUCUUCUGGAUGAGUUGCUAACGGGUGAGUAACGCGUAGGUAACCUGCCUGCUAGCGGGGGCUAAAUAUUGGAAACGAUAGCUAAUACCGCAUUACUACAGUUAUUGCAUGAUAACUGUUUCAAAGGGUCAACUCCUCCCCUACCAGAUGGACCUGCGUUGUAUUAGCUAGUUGGUUAGGUAACGGCUCACCAAGGCGACGAUACAUAGCCGAACUGAGAGGGUGAUCGGCAAGACUUGGACUGAAACACGGCCCAGACUACAACGAGAGGCAGCAGUAGGGAAUGUUCGGGAAUGGGCGAAAGUCUGAACGAGCAAAGCCGCCUGAAUAAGGAAGGUUUUCGGAACGUAAAGCUCUGUUGUAAGAGAAAAACGAGUGUAAGAGUGGAAAGUUCACGCUGUGACGGUAUCUUACCAGAAAGAGACGGCUAGCUAAGUG
rnacentral:rRNA from 1 species